UGUUUGUCCAGGUAUGCCUGUACUUCUACUGCAAAUGCUUGUGGCGCUGCCUGAAAUUUGUGGUCAGGAAACUAACGGGUCAAUGUGAAUUGCAAAGGAUCUGUUACAAUACCAAACCUGGAGCUGCCAGAACUAUGAAAAUAGAGGCAUCACUGAAAGGUUCAAAAAGUAAGCGGCUGCAAACUUCAGUAAGUGUUCACCCUGAUGCUAUUGAGAGAACGAUAGAUGACAUCAUGGAGCUGAAAAGGAUUAAUCCAGAUAUAAAUCCACAGUAAGUUCAUGGUUUUCUUAGAAAGCAAAUGGGAAUUAUUGACUUCUUCAGUGCCUAGGUCCAUGGAGAAUUGGUUCUCCAUGGCUAUUGUGGCACACAAUUUGAAGAAGAAUUCUGUCUCUCAGCAUAAA